UUUUACGUGUUUGAGUGUCAACAACAUUGGGCAUCAUUGAAAAUGGCGAGUUCUUUCGGUGUGGAGCUUCGCCGACCUCCUCCGAUCUGUCGACUUUGGUGGGCGAUUAGCGUGAAAUACAUUUCGCAGAAGGAGUGAAAUGUCGACGCAAAAGGCCCGGAGACGGCAGCGAUCAGUCUACGCUUCGCUCGACGCCCGUUUCAUAAACUGGUGUUACUCGCAGCCGGAAUCCCGAAAGCCACAAGAAACUCGAACCCGGACACGAAUUUCACGCCAACGACAGUGGAAUAGGCAACAUAACGUAUUGGCACAAGUGAGGAGCUGAAUGAGUCACCACAAUACACCAAGUAGCUGUUCUUCCAGCGACAGCUGCAGUACGGCAGCAAUCAACACUGAAAAGCGAAACAAGCUCCAGUGAAAACACAAAGUGCCGAUCAAGAGCCUCGGUCAGAGUGUCAGUAAGGAGUGCUCGCAUCAUUGUCUCCUGUGUAUUUCUCCCAUUUCGUUAUAAGCUACCAGUGCUUGUUUGUGUUGCACAUGUUUAAGCCAGUGUAGUCACACAAGUAUAUCCAAUGUUUAUUUAAUACUAUAUUGUACACAGUAUUUAUUAGUACUCAUUCCUAAUAUACACAAUAUUUAUCAAAGCGCAUUGUUUUAAAUUACGUAAUGUAAUGUAGGAUGUCAUUUCGUUCUUACACUCUCGGACUGUUUAUUGUCUGAACACGAGAUUCAUGCAAAAUAAUUUCAACGUUAAUCUGGCUGUUAUCAAUUCUGAGCUCUGUCAACAUCUUGCUGACUGUCACAGUUGUUGUGCUGACAUUUACUCAGCCUUCGUGUUGAGGAAAGAAAGAAAUUGGGGCAAAACCUUUCUUCUUGAACAAGUGGAAGUUGCAAGUAGGGAUAAUUGUGUUAUGUGUUCUCAUUUCCUUCGCUAUUGAAGUUUCUUGCUUCAAAAUGUAUUGGUAUUGAUUAAAAUAUUUUUGUUUAAGAAUCUGUCGUCGUGUGCAUUGCGUUCAUCAUGGGAUAAUCAAUCAAUCAAAUGUUUAUUGACCACCUGUUUAAAAAACAGAAUACAACAUAAGACUGUGAAGGAGCUUGGUCAGGA